UUACGGCCAUAUCACUUUGAAACACUGCUUAUUGUACGACCACUGAAGUUAAGCAACGUCGAGCCUCGGCCGUACUUAGAUGGGUGAUCGCUUGAGUAGACCAUCUGCUGUAAG